rnacentral:lncRNA from 1 species
AAGAGAACACCAAACCCCAAUGAGGAGGAUUAGAGAAGAGAUUUUUGCUAUUCGAUAGACGCAAAUAUUUAAGGCCAACCAGAUGUCCAAUUGAUGAAGGUAUUUCCUCGAUCGCACUACCACUUAAGGCAAUCGACUCCAAAUUCUUCUUCUGCUCCCCAAAUUCUAGAAUCUUUUUCAGAUUUUUGCAAUUAUCUAGAUGCAACUUCUGAAGGCCAACCAGAUGUCCAAAGGAUAAAGGUACUUCCUCGAUCGCACUACCAAUUAAGUCAAUGAACGCCAAAUUCUUCAUCUGCUCCCCAAAUUCUGGAAUCUUUUUCAGAUUUUUGCAAUUAUUUAGAUACAACUCCUUAAGGCCAACCAGAUGUCCAAUUGAUGAAGGUAUUUCCUCGAUCGCACUACCACUUAAGACAAUCGACUCCAAAUUCUUCAUCUGCUCCCCAAAUUCUGGAAUCUUUUCCAGAUUUUUGCAAUUAUCUAGAUGCAACUCAUAAAGGCUAACCAGAUGUCCAAUUGAUGAAGGUAUUUCCUCAAUCGCACUACCACUUAAGGCAAUCAACUCCAAAUUCUUCAUCUGCUCCCCAAAUUCUGGAAUCUUUUUCAGAUUUUUGCAAUUAUCUAGAUGCAACACCUUAAGGCCAACCAGAUGUCCAAUUGAUGAAGGUAUUUCCUCGAUCGCACUACCACUUAAGACAAUCAACUCCAAAUUCUUCAUCUGCUCCCCAAAUUCUGGAAUCUUUUUCAGAUUUUUGCAGUUAUCUAGAUGCAACACCUUAAGGCCAACCAGAUGUCCAAUUGAUUAAGGUAUUUCCUCGAUCGCACUACCAUUGAAGCUAAUCGACUCCAAAUUCUUCAUCUGCUCCCCAAAUUUUGGAAUCUUUUUCAGAUUUUUGCAAUUACGUAGAUGCAACACCUUAAGGCCAACCAGAUGUCCAAUUGAUGAAGGUAUUUCCUCGAUCGCACUACCACUGAAGCUAAUCGACUCCAAAUUCUUCAUCUGCUCCCCAAAUUCUGGAAUCUUUUUCAGAUUUUUGCAAUUAUCUAGAUAAAACUUCUGAAG